UUGACGUUAGCGGCGGACGGGUGAGUAACACGUGGGUAACCUACCUAUAAGACUGGGACAACUUCGGGAAACCGGAGCUAAUACCGGAUAAUAUGUUGAACCGCAUGGUUCAAUAGUGAAAGAUGGUUUUGCUAUCACUUAUAGAUGGACCCGCGCCGUAUUAGCUAGUUGGUGAGGUAACGGCUCACCAAGGCAACGAUACGUAGCCGACCUGAGAGGGUGAUCAGCCACACUGGAACUGAGACACGGUCCAGACUCCUACGGGAGGCAGCAGUAGGGAAUCUUCCGCAAUGGGCGAAAGCCUGACGGAGCAACGCCGCGUGAGUGAUGAAGGUCUUAGGAUCGUAAAACUCUGUUAUUAGGGAAGAACAAACGUGUAAGUAACUGUGCACGUCUUGACGGUACCUAAUCGGAAAGCCACGGCUAACUACGUGCCAGCAGCCGCGGUAAUACGUAGGUGGCAAGCGUUAUCCGGAAUUAUUGGGCGUAAAGCGCGCGUAGGCGGUUUUUUAAGUCUGAUGUGAAAGCCCACGGCUCAACCGUGGAGGGUCAUUGGAAACUGGAAAACUUGAGUGCAGAAGAGGAAAGUGGAAUUCCAUGUGUAGCGGUGAAAUGCGCAGAGAUAUGGAGGAACACCAGUGGCGAAGGCGACUUUCUGGUCUGUAACUGACGCUGAUGUGCGAAAGCGUGGGGAUCAAACAGGAUUAGAUACCCUGGUAGUCCACGCCGUAAACGAUGAGUGCUAAGUGUUAGGGGGUUUCCGCCCCUUAGUGCUGCAGCUACGCA
rnacentral:rRNA from 1 species